UAAUACGUAGGGGGCAAGCGUUGUCCGGAUUUAUUGGGCGUAAAGAGCGUGUAGGCGGCUAGAUAGGUCCGUUGUGAAAACUCGAGGCUCAACCUCGAGACGUCGAUGGAAACCAUCUGGCUAGAGUCCGGAAGAGGAGAGUGGAAUUCCUGGUGUAGCGGUGAAAUGCGCAGAUAUCAGGAAGAACACCCGUGGCGAAGGCGGCUCUCUGGUACGUGACUGACGCUGAGACGCGAAAGCGUGGGGAGCAAACAGGAUUAGAUACCCUGGUAGUCCACGCCGUAAACGAUGGGUGCUAGGUGUGGGGGGUGUCGACUCCCUCCGUGCCGAAGCUAACGCAUUAAGCACCCCGCCUGGGGAGUACGGCCGCAAGGCUA
rnacentral:rRNA from 1 species